GAUUUAAUAAAUAGGGACAAUUGCUUAUAUACCCUUGAAAAGUUUCUGACUUUCCGAUUUACCCCUCUUAGAAGGCUAAUAUUGAAAAUACCCUUUCUAUGUUCCAACCUAUUUUUAAUAUACCGCUAGAGUUAAAAUCUGUUAAUUAACUCUGUUAUCUCUAUAAAAUUACUAUUUUGCCCUUUCAAAUAUAUCCUUCCAUCAUCACUGACUUUCUUAUUUAUCCUUAAAGUCAGGGGUACAAAAAGUAUUUUGACUUUUGGUCUUUCCUAAUAUACCCCUCUACCGUCACCAGCAUUUCUUAUUGGCCUUAAGUUAAGGAUAAAAUUGACAUUUUAAUUUCUUUUAACUGUGGUAGAUAUUUAACUCACGUUUAACCCAAGUUAACUCAACAGGAGAUAUCUGUGAGAGUAUUUUGAAAUAACGGUGGAACAUAUGAGAGGUAUUUUAUAAAGAAAAAAAAAAGUAGGAGUAAAUCGAAUAUUUUCAAACAUAUAAAUGGUAUAUAGGCAAUUAUCCCUAUACAUAAAUACAU
rnacentral:lncRNA from 1 species